AAGAACAAACACUUGUAGUUUUGUAUGCCUCAACUGUUGCUUAGGAUCCAGUGUUGUAGUGCUUUGCCUAAUUACAAAUAACUCUAAUCAAUAAUAGUGGUUCUUUCCUUCUGAUUUGAACUGAGAGAGAAUCACUGAUUCUUGAUCUUAAGGUGACCCCAUUUUUCUAUGCCUCAUGCUCAUGCUGCUCUAUGUUCCCUUUUAAAAAUUCUUGCUUGCAUUUUGGGUUGGUUUCUGCUCUAUAUUCCCUUUUAGCGUUUCUUUCCGUUGUUGGUGCACUCACUUUUGGCGUUCAUUUCAUGCCCAAGAUCUUGCAAAUUAUGCCUGUGCCGAGCUUGCUUUAGAAUACGGGCUGCAGAGACGUCGAGGACUCAAGGUGAGACACGUUCGAUUAAAGACGCGAGACUCCUCUCCCCGUCAAUCUCGCGCUGCUUCUGCUCACCAUCCCUCUCUCUGACCGCUGCAGGUCACCGAUGUUGUGGAGCUGGACAAGGUUUCCGGGCAGUUCAUCGACCGCAUGUUCCUCCUAGAGAAGGUGAGCAAUCGUCAUCGAUCCAUCAAGCUAGCUCUUCGUCAUGCAUGGAGAUUGAUUGUAGACAUUCCUUUUUCUGCUGGUUACAAAUUCCAGGGCUAGAGAUGAUUUACUCUGCCAGGCGGUAGCACUCAAAGCACACAGGAUCCUGAACCUCAACAACAACCCCUACUUUUCUGGGCCCUAAUGUUGCAACGGCCGUGACCGCGUCGAGGCUCGGGCGUGUGGCCGUCGACGUGGAGCAGGCAGAGGAGGAGCGACUACUACCCCAACGGCAGCCUCUUCUCCCUUGUCCACGUUCGGUCGGUGCCGUGGCGGAGGGUUGUCUUGUGGUUUGACCGGAGAGGGAGCACACCAAAGAAGCGAUCUCGUCCCCAUUGGUCAGGUACCCUUCGUCUUUUUCUCGUUCGACCUCUCCAAGGAAGUUAUAUAGGUAGAGUAAGCUAAUUGUGUUUUGCAGGUGUUGUAUAGGAUACUACGGUUAAAGAUUGUUCUCAUUUAUAUUGAUGUUGCUGAUUAUCAAAUCAAUGGUUGUUAUCUAGAGUGCUUCUCCUUCAGAUUUGACGUACUAUGUCUUCCAGCUUAUACUAUAUAUGAUUUCUUUCCAUGGUUUUAACUAAUUAUGGAUAUGUAUCUAAUUAUGUUAUUUUGGCAUCAACAAAUUACUCACCUAGCAUUUAUUCUGCUAUAUGGAAACAAUCGGUGCCUAUUUCUUUUUGAUCUGAACUCAGACAUAAUUCUGCUAUAUGUAAACAAUCAUUGGUUCUUUCUUUUCUAUCUAAACUGAGAAAUAACUCUAAUCAGUUGUUUUUUUAUUUACUGUCCAAGUAUCAUUCUUACCUAAAACUUGUGCCAAAAAUGGACAUUGACCUCUAGGAUGGCCUCACUGAAACUGACAUACCCUCCCUCCUACUCUUCAGACUUCUACAACUAUAUGUAUUACUCAUGUUUGUUGCUUUCCCAAUGAAACAUACCACAUGCCCAGCAAAAAACAAAGUCCCAUCCUACUGCCCGCAGGACUUUAGUCUUUAAAGACUAAAUGCAUGGGUCGCAUGUAAGCUGGUUUUUAAAAUCAUUUCCUAUAGCAUCUACAGAAUUUAUCAGUGUUUAAGCAGCAUACAUGCUCCUCUCUGCAGCUAUCCACUGUUGUUGAGAAUCUCGAAAGACACGCUUCAGUAUUAUGCCUCUUAUAAGCGAGAAGCCUGAAUUUGUGCUCUCUUUUGGUAGAUGCAGUAUGUAAUAACGAAUCACGCCGACCUCUGUCUAAAUGCAUGGAACUUGGUGUUGAGUUAUCUGAAUUGCUGCCCAGGAUCCGGUUUGUACUUUAUUUACCUAUAAUAUGGUAUGUAAUGACAAGGAAGUCGAGGACUAGGUAUGGAUGUUGUUUAACUAUAUAUUUGUUGGCGACUGUUUCUUAAAUAGUUAGCUGGUCCCUGUAGUGUAAUUUGUUGAGCCUUUUGAUGCUCUCUUUGAUUUUCGAUCCAUUCUUUGUGUCUGAUUAAAAUUACCAAUGUUGCUACCAAAUACUUAAGUACAUGGCAACUCUAAUAGAGUUUUAACUAUCUAAUUUUUCAUAAGACUGGAUCAGGUGCAAUGUUAAACGACUGUAAAU